AACGAACGCUGGCGGCAUGCCUAACACAUGCAAGUCGAACGAGACCUUCGGGUCUAGUGGCGCACGGGUGCGUAACGCGUGGGAACCUGCCCUUAGGUUCGGAAUAACUCCCCGAAAGGGGUGCUAAUACCGGAUAAUGUCUUCGGACCAAAGAUUUAUCGCCUUUGGAUGGGCCCGCGUUGGAUUAGCUAGUUGGUAGGGUAAAAGCCUACCAAGGCGACGAUCCAUAGCUGGUCUGAGAGGAUGAUCAGCCACACUGGGACUGAGACACGGCCCAGACUCCUACGGGAGGCAGCAGUGGGGAAUAUUGGAAAAUGGGCGAAAGCCUGAUCCAGCUAUGCCGCGUGAGUGAUGAAGGCCUUAGGGUUGUAAAGCUCUUUUACCCGGGAUGAUAAUGACAGUACCGGGAGAAUAAGCUCCGGCUAACUCCGUG
rnacentral:rRNA from 1 species